rnacentral:lncRNA from 1 species
UGUGUGUGUGUAUGUGUAGGAGACACAUGAUAAUAUGUUUCCAGGGGCGUAAAGGGGGCAUACUCUUUAUUUAUAGAAAAGGACGGAAACUCAGCUACAAGACAAACAAACAAACAAACAACAGAGAUGUGCUUUUGUGCUCUCUCCCAUUAAAAGAAGACUGUAGAUUGUAGUUUUCAAAUUUGGCUAAGAUGAAUCCUUGUUUCAUCUUUAAUCACGCCAAACUCUGCCCCAUUUGUCAUGUUUACUCUCCCGUACAAAGGAUGGACCUUAUGCUUGCUAUUACCUCGACAACCAGUGUUCACUUUAAUAAAUGAGGCACAGUUUCUUCGAGAGAAACUGAAUUUUCUUUUCUUUUCUUUUGCUGCCUACCAGCCACAAAGCGAAAGUUUCUAUUCAGAUCCCCAAGGGCACAGCAGUUCUGGCAACUGUAACACAGCCCUAUAGACCAAAACCAACCAAACAACGACCUCUACUCCAUGCGCAAAUCUCCGCAGACCGUCUGUUGGGAAAAAAGUACCCGGAGUUCUACAAAAAUCUUCAAGGGAAAUAAUAACAAUAAAAAAAUCUGGAUCAUAAAAUUGAUUUUUUUUAUUUUAUUUGACUUUAUUUUAAUUUUUGGAAAACAAAACGAAACAAACAACAACUCUCACGUGGGAAGAAUCCACUCAAACCAUGAAUACCGUCUGUGGGGCGUUGGAAAAAGGAUGUGGGAAUGCACAAGAAAUUGCUGCCUAUCUGCAUGUGACAUCAAAUGAAG